AGCCCACUGGCUGUCCCAGCCUCCCGGCUCCCGUCCCCCUUCUUUCCUCCUUAUUAAUAAAAGCUCAUUCCUCCCUAGUUAUUCCUCACUACUUCCUUCCUUCCUUCCUUCCUUCCUUCCUUCAUGCUCAAACCAUCAUCACUCUUUCUUCUCCACGGAGGCCAUGGACAAAUUUUCACGGCAAAAAGCAUUCGCGAAACUUCCACAAGGUGACUAUGAUGAAGCCAUUCUCAUGUUUGGUCACCACCACAACAUCUCGGAAAAGUAUGAUGGCAAUGAGAGGGAGCUCCUCUUUGGUGAAGACAUUGAUCGCGGGUUGGUGACCGAGGCUGGUUGGUGUUAAUUGGGUGCUAUCCUACCUGAGCUUUUUCUUCGUUGUUUUUUUUAUAUUUUUCAUCGUUUUUUUUUUUAUUCUCUUUUUCUUGUCUUCUUGACCUUGUAAGACCUUUUCUUGACCUUGUAAGACCCUGUUGUGCGCAUUUCUUCUUCGUUUUCCAUCUUGUCAUGAACUCUAUACCAGCACCGACUGACAUAGAGUUCGGCCAUCGUGUUCCCCGUUUCCGCCCAACUCAUGUUCUCCUUCCUUGUCUAUCCCUCCUGAGCUAUUGGAAUUGAACCAACACCCUCCCCUCAAAAUUCUCGACAAUGAUAGUAAUGGGCUUCAUUUGUGACAUGUAAAUCUAGUAUAAAAAGAAAAAGAAUGUUAAUUUUGAGGUAGAGAAAAAGAGAGAGUUGUAAAGAGUACUGAAAUGGAAAAGGAUUGAUCAGAUAUAAGGUGUUUUGGGGUGUUGACAGAAUAAUAGUAUUUGCUGUCUUUCCAGUUUCCACUAUUCAUUUACAGCCAUCAAUUUCGAUUGGUAUUAUAUGGGCAGAAAUAUGCUGUUGCAGGCAGCAGUUUCGUUGUUUUAUAUGUUGUUUGGCUGAGAAGUGAGUAGAGAAUAAAUAUUCUUCUGCAGAUCUGUGAAGACUUAAUUCC